GUCUGGGGUUUUCUUCCCGGGCAGGUUGUGUGCUCAGGGCCCCAGGGGAAUCUGGGAUAAGACGCUGGGGGCGCUGCCGUGGGAAAGGCCAAGGGACACCGUCUGGACGGGUUCCCCGAGACCACGUGCUCUAAGCCCCGAAUCUGAUCCCAGGCAGGGUGCCCUGCCUCUCCCAGCUCCGUCUCUGCUCCCCAGCGGACCCGCUGUCUCCAGCAGACCUGGAGAAUCAGGUGGGGAAGGCAGUCUUCAGAGCAUUCACUCUGCCAUUCUCUGUGUCCGUCAUAGCAAUUUCUUCUCCAUGUUCAUGGAACACCUGUGGGCAGCACAGUUCCAGGCACUGCUAUUUCCCAAGACUCACUGAAUUCAGAUGUUGGCAACUUCCUGGCAGGAGCUGCCUCUGAUUUCUGGUAAGAGGAGGGGAGCUGCCAUGGCCAAGGGGACUUGCUGUGAUUUUCCUCUUCUCCCUAAAUCCCCCAAACCCUCAGG
rnacentral:lncRNA from 13 species